UUUGUCUAAGUGUUUUAUAUCAUUCACUAACCUAAACUUCUUCUCUCGUCUAAAGAUACACCACCGCCGAACUCAUUCGUUCCCUUUCUCAUCACUUCUGUCCUCCAUCCUCCGCCGUUUAAGGUAAAGCUUCGCUGCAACACCCGACUUCCAGUCCUAGAACAACCGCCGGACCUCAUUUGUCUACUUUCUCGUCUCCUCCGUUCUCCAUCCUCCACCUCCUCCGCCAUCUAAGAUGACACAACAACAGACAAAGCUACGUCGGACAAACAUGAGAGCAGAAUCAUCUCAUCAACAGCCCGCUUUCAGCCACUCUUGCCCGAAAUCUUGACACAGAAAUGCGGCUAUCAAGCUUGGAGACUACUCUUGCAGCAGUUAAGGAUGAUAUGGCGAUGCUCAAGAAUGAUGUGAUGAUGCUCAAGGAUGACUUGCACAAGGUCGGCGAUUGGGCAGCGGCAAUGCAAGCUUCUCAAAAUGUGAUUCUAAGGAGUUUAGGUAUUGAUCCCCUAACUCACCAACCGAUCAGACCCACCACAACUCCUGUCACGGUUAGUCACUCAGUCCCGUGUCCGUCUCCUCUACAACCUCAUGACAAUAACGAAGAUUGAUAUGAUUAUGUUACUCAUGUCCAUGGCAACACAAAACUUAUGCUUCUGUGCUACAUCUCUUUAUUUUGGUGUGUUGUGUAUUAAGAACAUGACUGAUGUGUAUUUCAUUUUGUAUUUUGUUAUGUCGUUGACUAAGAACAUGACUUGUGUCUUUUUGUAAACCAAAAAUAUUUAGAUCAUAUGUAUGUUUGAUUAAAGUUUUAAUU